AAAACGGCUGACAGGGCAUCAGUAGACUGGGUGUUCUUCAUCGACACGCUGAUCUUCUCGUUCUGGUCGGAGGACGAGCGGCGAGCGUUCACCGUGUGACACAGAGGUCGCGACCUCACCGACUACUUCUCUCUCUGCGCAGCCGUCAACAGGUCGCUGGAGGCUGGCGUUCCCCUGACGGACCCUGCGUACUACUCCACCCUGACGCUGGAGAAGCUGAGAGAGCAU